rnacentral:rRNA from 1 species
AGCGAACGCUGGCGGCAGGCUUAACACAUGCAAGUCGAGCGCCGUAGCAAUACGGAGCGGCAGACGGGUGAGUAACACGUGGGAACGUGCCUUCUGGUUCGGAAUAACUCAGGGAAACUUGAGCUAAUACCGGAUAAGCCCUUCGGGGGAAAGAUUUAUCGCCGGAAGAUCGGCCCGCGUAAGAUUAGCUAGUUGGUGAGGUAAUGGCUCACCAAGGCUACGAUCUUUAGCUGGUCUGAGAGGAUGAUCAGCCACACUGGGACUGAGACACGGCCCAGACUCCUACGGGAGGCAGCAGUGGGGAAUAUUGGACAAUGGGCGGAAGCCUGAUCCAGCAACGCCGCGUGAGGGAUGACGGCCUUCGGGUUGUAAACCUCUUUCGCCUGUGACGAAGCGCAAGUGACGGUAACAGGUAAAGAAGCACCGGCCAACUACGUGCCAGCCGCCGCAGUAA